AUGCGGUUUGAUAGCGGAGGCACGCCGGCAGAAGCGCACAGCUCGAUGCCAGAUGGUAAGACGUCGUUGUGUUUCCUUGACUGGCCGCUUGGCUGCAACGAAUUUUGCCUUCGAUCCGGAAAACGAGACGCCUUUGGUGGAUCUGCAACGGUGUCCAGGGAACCUUCCUGUCGGUCUCAGCGGCUUUGUAGAACUCUACAGCGGAAAUCAAUCCAUACGGAUCACUUCGUCGCAUGCGGCCAUGCGUGCAACCCUAAAUUCUCUUAA
rnacentral:rRNA from 1 species